rnacentral:rRNA from 1 species
GACGAACGCUGGCGGCGUGCUUAACACAUGCAAGUCGAACGGGCCUGUCUUCUUUUUUGGGGGUGGGUUGAGUGGCGAACGGGUGAGUAUCACGUGAGUAACCUGCCCUUCGGUCCUGGAUAACCGCUUGAAAGGGCGGCUAAUACGGGGUGGUCCGGUUGGUCCGCAUGGGCUGGUCGGGAUAGAUUCACUGUUUUUGGUGUUUCGGCGGGGGAUGGGCUCGCGGCCUAUCAGCUUGUUGGUGGGGUGAUGGCCUACCAAGGCGGUGACGGGUAGCUGGCCUGAGAGGGUGGGCGGCCACACUGGGACUGAGAUACGGCCCAGACUCCUGCGGGAGGCAGCAGUGGGGGGUAUUGCACAAUGGGCGGAAGCCUGAUGCAGCGACGUCGCGUGAGGGAUGGAGGCCUUCGGGUUGUGAACCUCUGUUUCCGGUGGUGAAGGCCCUGUCCGUGUGGUGGGGUUGACGGUAGCCGGGGAUGAAGCGCCGGCUAACUACGUG